ensembl:lncRNA
ACAAAAAGUUGGCAUAAGAGUCACAAGUCACUUCAUGAAAGCGAAACUUGUCCAUAAAAGCAGUAUUAUAGCCGGUCUGACAUUACUUUGUGUAAUCGCCUCCAGCUCAGCAAACCCAGAUCAGAUGGAGGAUGAAGUGGCUACUUCGAGAUUGAUAGGAGCCAGACUGGCACAGGACUCAACCGCAUGAGAAAGUGUCAGUCAGCCUGUUUAUUGGUGGUCAUUACUGAAAAGGGAGUUGCUCUUCUGCAAUGAUUUACAGUCGACACCAGCAAAUCAGUUCUAGUCACUUCCAGUCUGGCAGGGCAUCAGCUGCUAUGCGAAUUUAUGGCUUUGCAGCUAAUAUUUCACGUCUCUCGUGGCCGAGGUUUUGUACCAUUUGACUGCAGUAAGUUGUGCCAUCUUUAGUUGUGUGAUGGUUAUGGCAGACAUGGUUCUCACAUGGCUGUGCUGUCAAGCAUCUAAAAUCUAUAAACCUCGGGGACUGGGCCUUAAAUUUCCAGCCCAUAUGGUGUGAAUGCAGUAAAUAAUUUGCUCAGUGGAGUGAAAAAGUAUCAUCGGAGCAAUCUGUUGUUAUAAAAGUGAGCACAGGGUUGAACGGGUAUUGCUGUCGCCUUUCAGAAUUGUUUGGAGCUAUUGAGCAAAACUUAAUUGCUAAAGCCAGAAGGGGAACUGAAACAAUGAGCAACACACUGUGAAGUGAUGUGAUGAUUGGUUCUCUCAGAUCUUUCAUUGGUGGCCAGACCAAUCCCGGCCAAUUUAAUUCUGCUGCUAUGACUCUAAAAAGAGACGGAAGUUAUGUUCCAAAUACUUUAGCAUACUACUCAUACUCUUUCAGCAGUCUGUAGUCUGCUGAAUUCAAAAUCGCACACUGGGUAUUUUUGUGUUUGUGAGUAACUAUUUACUUUGUGACUGUUAAAAAUGUGUUUUAUGUAGUAUGAAUGUGUGUAGUAUGAAUGUAAUCUGGACGUAUUACUCUCCCAUGUCCUGAUGGGAUAGUAAAGUGUCCAUUAGAUGUGUCCUUCAGAAUCUUGUAGGUACUUAUUUUGAACAAGUACUUACUUUGAAAUCUUUAUCUGUUCUACAUUCUAUGAAUGUGUGCAGUAUGAAUGUAAUUCAGACAAUAACACUGUUGCGUCACAUCUCUGUAAUUCACAAAUCCUUUCCUGGGGUGUCGGCCCUAACUGGACAUACUAUUAUUUUUACAUACUGUUUUUUGCCUACUGUAUUAGGGAAUUAGGCAUUAGGGAUCUCUAUUUGUAUACAAUUCUAUCCCCCUUCCUCAAUGCCUUAUUAAAAACGUAACACAUUACUGUGAUAUCUUGUCCAAACUAAUCAAAUGUUUGUCUUAAACAGAGCUAAUAUGCUAAGCUUGGCUAACAAUUAACUAACAAAUGAAGGAAGGCAAUGUUUAAUAUGACAAUUUAGCUUUGAUAAUAUGAUCUGAUAUGUAAUUUAAAAGACCUUAAUGAAUAUAUUGCCAUGAUUAAAAAUGAACACACCACUGAUUUCUUAACAUUUCUAAUCAGGCACUGUAUCAAGCACCCAUAAAAAGUUGUAAUACUGUUUGAAAAAAUUGUUUAUAAGGCUAAAUUUCACCUUUUUUUAAAAUGUACCUUUCGAACGCCCCC